UUUACUUUUUCUCUAUAAAAU
rnacentral:snRNA from 1 species